rnacentral:rRNA from 1 species
GACGAACGCUGGCGGCGUGCUUAACACAUGCAAGUCGAACGGAAAGGCCCUGCUUUUGUGGGGUGCUCGAGUGGCGAACGGGUGAGUAACACGUUAGUAACCUGCCCUUGACUUUGGGAUAACUUCAGGAAACUGGGGCUAAUACCGGAUAGGAGCUCCUGCUGCAUGGUGGGGGUUGGAAAGUUUCGGCGGUUGGGGAUGGACUCGCGGCUUAUCAGCUUGUUGGUGGGGUAGUGGCUUGCCAAGGCUUUGACGGGUAGCCGGCCUGAGAGGGUGACCGGCCACAUUGGGACUGAGAUACGGCCCAGACUCCUACGGGAGGCAGCAGUGGGGAAUAUUGCACAAUGGGCGGAAGCCUGAUGCAGCAACGCCGCGUGCGGGAUGACGGCCUUCGGGUUGUAAACCGCUUUCGCCUGUGACGAAGCGUGAGUGACGGUAAUGGGUAAAGAAGCACCGGCUAACUACGUG